AACGGGUGAGUAACGCGUGAGCAACCUGGACUCUUAGAGGGGGGAUUAACACCCGGAAACGAGUGCUAAUACCGCAUAAGACCACGACAUGGCAUCAUGACGAGGUCAAAGGAGCAAUCCGCUGAGAGAGGGGCUCGCGUCCCAUUGGAUAGAUGCGGGGUAAGGCCCACCAUGUCAACGAUGGGUAGCCGAGCUGAGAGGCUGAUCGGCCACACUGGAACUGAGACACGGUCCAGACUCCUACGGGAGGCAGCAGUGGGGAAUAUUGGGCAAUGGGCGCAAGCCUGACCCAGCAACGCCGCGUGAGGGAAGAAGGCUUUCGGGUUGUAAACCUCUGUCCUUGGUGAUGAAACAAAUGACGGUAGCCAAGGAGGAAGCCCCGGCUAACUACGUG
rnacentral:rRNA from 1 species